CAAUAGCGUAUAUUAAAGUUGUUGCAGUUAAAAAGCUCGUAGUUGGAUUUGUGGCGUACGGUGUGUUCCGGGCACUUGUUGUCUGAGUAACCUGCUGUUGCCAUCCUUGGGUGGAACCUGUGUGGCAUUAGGUUGUCGUGCAGGGGAUGCCCAUCAUUUACUGUGAAAAAAUUAGAGUGUUCAAAGCAGGCUUAUGCCGUUGAAUAUAUUAGCAUGGAAUAAUGAGAUAGGACUUUUUUGCUAUUUUGUUGGUUUGCGCAAAGAGGUAAUGAUUAAUAGGGACAGUUGGGGGGAUUCGUAUUCCAUUGUCAGAGGUGAAAUUCUUGGGUUUUUGGAAGACGAACUACUGCGAAAGCAUUUACCAAGGAUGUUUUCAUUAA
rnacentral:rRNA from 1 species